rnacentral:rRNA from 1 species
GACGAACGCUGGCGGCGUGCCUAAUACAUGCAAGUAGAACGCACAGUUUAUACCGUAGCUUGCUACACCAUAGACUGUGAUUUGCGAACGGGUGAGUAACGCGUAGGUAACCUGCCUGGUAGCGGGGGAUAACUAUUGGAAACGAUAGCUAAUACCGCAUAAUAUUAAUUAUUGCAUGAUAAUUGAUUGAAAGAUGCAACUGCAUCACUACCAGAUGGACCUGCGUUGUAUUAGCUAGUAGGUGAGGUAACGGCUCACCUAGGCGACGAUACAUAGCCGACCUGAGAGGGUGAUCGGCCACACUGGGACUGAGACACGGCCCAGACUCCUACGGGAGGCAGCAGUAGGGAAUCUUCGGCAAUGGACGAAAGUCUGACCGAGCAACGCCGCGUGAGUGAAGAAGGUUUUCGGAUCGUAAAGCUCUGUUGUAAGAGAAGAACGGGUGUGAGAGUGGAAAGUUCACACUGUGACGGUAUCUUACCAGAAAGGGACGGCUAACUACGUG